CAGGUUAAUUCGGUUUGGUGGUGAGGUGCGGAACGUGCGAAGGGGGUGCGGAGAGUGCUCAGCGGUAACCGAGUGAGGAGCGUCGUGUGUCAGGACCAGAGGCAACUCGGUGGCGCUCGCGGUUACCGCCACCGGCACGACGACCGGCGGUAGGACCGCGACAGGGGCGAGGGGGAGAGGGAGCGCAGGGGGAGACGCCGCCGCCGCCGGCUGGCGUAGUGCGCGGACGGCCCGGUCGGCGGCCAGUUGAAGAGGUACAUGAGCCCGAUGCAGUGGCAGCUGCGGCGGCGCCCGGCGCGGGAGAAGAUGACCGACCAGCUCAGGCGGCGGCGCUUCGGGCUCAGGCGGGGCGAGCACGAGACCGAGUUGCCGCCCGGGCCGACGAGGAGGCAGCCGAUGCCGCGGAGGCUCCUCGAGCCGCGGAAGGCCUAGUUGCGGCUGCCGUCCUGCGAGAGGCAGUUGGGCAUGAGGACCUUGUUUUACCGCUUGCACGACAAGGACCUGCGGGGGCGGCCGCAGCCCAUGAGGAUGAGGUUGUGGUCGAGGCUAGACGAGCGGGGGCCGCUGUUGUUCUGUCGAGUACUAAGCAUGUGAAAGGACCACUUAACCGACCUCUCCAAAGGUGUCAUGUUCAUGGCGCUAAAGAUGUAGCGACCUCUCUCGAUACCUCCCGUGAUACAGGGAGUCAACAGAGUUGACCACAUGUCUUUGUUGUUCCCUCACUCCUUCGGGUAGGACUUGAAGUUUCCGAAGUACCAGCCUUUACGCCAGUAACUGCUAAUGGUACUAAAGCAACCUUGCAAGCUCAUGACCACCUGCGUACCCGACUAGAGACUACUGUGGAUAGUCUUCGACGUCAACCGAACACUUAAACUAAGUAGACUUGUGCGAAGGCUCCGUACGUUGUUCUAAAUACUACAACGACUUCGACUCCUUCCGGACUAGCUGCGUAUGUCGUAGAUGUGUGGAUGGACAUUCUUCUGGAGCGAAGUAUCCGCUUCCGUUUAGUUCCCGGCGUCCGGGACCAACGGUUCUCCUAUACUAGGGACGUGACUUGUCAUGAGGUGCUUCAUGAUAUUAGAUGGUCUUCACGUCUUUCGAAAAGCACGCUUACAGUGACCUUAUGGCAUACGGACCUGAUCGACGUCACUACAGAACAAACUUAUAACCUUUCUAAGUGGUUCCAGGUACGAAGGAUAAAUGGUACUCGACUAACGUCGACCGUAUUCUUAUACCCAGAAGUCACCACUACGGCUAAGGCAUCAUGGAGAGUGACCAUGUUCUAUGAGGUAACUACGUGAUAUAGAAGGCUGGCAGUGAUUAACCAUAGGCACCAUACUACUCCUUCUCCAACGACCAACCACGGUUCACAUGUUUCCGAACUGCAACCACUGUUAGGCUCCGCGUCCUGUACUCCAAGGGGAGGUAGCAGGUGCCGUUCGGAACUUCGAAAAACUCGUAAAGAACGUUCUAUUCGGGUACGGAGCCGGACAUGGAUCGUAGGUCAGCAAAAUCUUAAAGGAAGGUGAAUUUUACCUUCUAGUCGGGUACUUCGGUACAACAUGUUAAAGUUCAGGCCGAUGGUCUAAAAGUCAACUCGUCUAAAGGAGACAAGUAAACUACGGCUAACUCUUUACCCUUGUCUUAGGGUAAUUUCACCCUGUUAAUCUCGAAACAAAAAACAAAAGUACUCGAGACCCCACCGUUACAUUAAACUUAGUAUGAACGAAUAAACUGUGUUAUUUUACACUGGUACAGUAACAAUAGACAAUUUGCUGAGGAACUAGUUCAAUCCGAACUUAAGAGGAACUGAGACAACGACUGUACUAGGUUAGUCAUUUGUACAAUUCGAACAUUGCACAAUUGGAUCGACUCACCACUAAAUAUUCGAAACACGGAAGAGAUUCAACAGGAGACAUCGCUGAGCAUAAAUCUAUUUACAAUUCUCAUUAAAAACCAUUCGAACCAUAUACAAUGUCUUUUUUUUGUCUUCAAUCACGUCGUGACUUAUUUAUCAGAAAAACAUCAGUCUAUUGGUCAUGAAUCUCCAAAUAUCGUUGGUUCCUUUCACUAGAGUAUAAGAAAGAUCACGUUGAAGAACUUCUGUAUUAAACGUUUUAUUUAAUUAUUUACUGGUGUAUUUUAAGUAAGUCUUGAGAACUUAAAAAUAUAGUGACUUUUAUAAUAAGGGUACGUAGUUUGACUAGAAUCCCCCCCGAUCCCGUCAACUGUUUGUCGUCGGUUGCUACCAACCAUUGUCUUGUGUUGGUUCGGUAAGUAAGAAAACCCUACUAGAACUACGGGAACUACUCCUCGGGGGAGAAGGUGACGGGUGGUAGUCUGAGUUAGUACCUCUAGAGACGGAGAGGUAAGACGGGUAACACACCGAAUUGGAGGGGUUGGAACUGGACGUCGGUGAGGGGGGACCCGAAGAGGACGUCCAAGAGGAACACGACGACCUAGCAGGGCAGCCCCUUGAACUCGGCCUUCAAGUGGCCGCAGCUGGUGGGCAUCCGGCAUAGCAGCUCGUAGUGGAGCUUCUUUUGGAGUAUCCACUGAGGACCACACUCUACCCCGUCAAGGUCGAAGGGAACCUGGAGGUUGGUCGUCUGCAAGAAGUCGCGGUGGUAGAGCUAAGGUCGAAGCCGUCGUGACUACCAUUGUACAGUCAAAGUCUUGUACCCCAACGGUUCAGGUCAUAACCCCAAGAAGCGAGGUUCACUACCGGUCCGGAGACCCCUUGUCGUACUUCGUCAACACGGAUCAGGAGAGUAGGUGGGUCAUGAAGACGUGGUAACGUCUUUCAAACUUCGUAUUCGGUACAAGUCUUCAGUUCUUCUAGGGCCACCUUUGGACUAGAAGGUCACGUCGAUGUAACCACUGGAAGAGGGGCCGUUGUUAGAGGGCCUUGUACACUCCUCGACCGCGGGAGAACCUGACGCGGACCAACCGCCACAGCCUUCAUCAUCUUCGUGAGUGGAAGUACGCCGUCUUACGUAGCUAUCAUUCGAGAUUAUGUAGAGGUAGUCGAAGAAAAACUACAUAAAAAGAGACCUACUGUGGUGCG
rnacentral:rRNA from 1 species